GACGAACCGUGCAAACGUUGUUCGGAAUCACUGGGCUUAAAGGGCGCGUAGGCGGCUUGCCAAGUCAGGGGUGAAAUCUUUCGGCUUAACCGCAAAAGUGCCUCUGAUACUGGCGAGCUAGAGGGAGGUAGGGGCAUGUGGAACUUCCGGUGGAGCGGUGAAAUGCGUUGAUAUCGGAAGGAACGCCGGUGGCGAAAGCGACGUGCUGGAUCUCUCUUGACGCUGAGGCGCGAAAGCUAGGGGAGCAAACGGG
rnacentral:rRNA from 1 species